GCCUCCCAAAGUGUUAGGAUUACAGGCAUGAGCCACCACGCCCUGACGGGACAGUGGUUUUAAAAGGCAGGUGCCAGCCUUUGUUAAGAAAGGUGUGUAAGAAUCUGUAGAUCUAAAGCAACAGGCCGCACCUCUGAACAUUCCAUGGAAGCAGGAAGGGAGCAAGCCCCACUCCUGAGCUGAGACAGGUGGGGGUGGAGGGCAGGGUUCACAUAGGAGAUGGCUCAGCCUCUGCCCAGGGAGCGCCCCACCUUCGCCAGGGCGGGGAGGAGCAUACGGCACCCAGUGCUUGCGUACACCCCUGCGUGCGUGGAGCUGCCUAGGGCCUCCCUGUCACCAGCCCUCACUGCUGUCCAGCCCCUGCCUACAGGCCCCCAGUGGCUGCCACGGUCCUAUGCGGAGACUUUGCUCAGUUUCAUCCAAGGUUUCGCCAAUGCCCUUCAAUAGCUGAGGAUAUACGAAAGGCUCCCCGAGCAAAGGCUGGGGCCCCAGGGGGCCGGGGAGAAGGUCGCCGAGGCACACAUGGGAGGGAGUGGACAGAAGAGCACAGGACUCUGCUGAGGUCUGAACGAGCCCCUCCGGAAUUCAUGUGUUGGAACUUAAUUGCCAGUGUGAAGGUAUUAAGAGCCAGGGCCUUGAGGCAGUGGCAGAACCUCCAGAACGGGAUUCAGGACCUCACAGGAGGUGUGGCAGAGCUGCCUCCUUCCCUUUGUCCUUCCGUCCCUCCGGCCAUGUGAGGACGCAGCCACAGGGCACCAUCUUGGAAGCGGAGACUGGGCCUCCCGAGACCCAAACCAGCUGGCGCCUUGAGCUUGCACUUCCCAGCCUCAGAAGUGAGAAACAAAUGUCUAUUAUUUAUACAUUCCCCAGUCUCAGGUGUUUUGUUACGGCGGCGUACACAGACUAGGAAUCUCCUGCUCCCUCCAGCCCCCACGUCCCCGCACUGCCCCACCCUCCGGGCCGGGACAGAAGUGUGUCCCGCCCCCGUGACAGUGACGUCUCACCAACCUCCAGCCUCCCCCAGGUGAAACAAAACCUUCACCUCCCCCUAAUACAAGCAGCUUCCAUUUUGCUUGUAAAAUCCACAUCUGACGAAGCUGUUCUCCAGCAAAGGGCAGACCUAGCGUGUCUGUCUCUGUCAAAACAAAUAUCAUCAAGCCUGUCAUUGACUUUUUUUUUUUUCUAGAUUCACUAUUUUGGCUAAAUUCCUCAUCAAAAUUGCAAGCUACGAACCUUCUCUACUGGAGUAAUUUUCAGAGGGCAACUGAGUCAUCAUUGUGGAUAAUACAUUUUGAAUCUUGAUGUUUGGAAAGAGGGUCACAAGCACCUGGGACAGCAUCUGGAACUGGUGUUUACACCACGGACGGAUCGUGUGGACAGAUCACGCCAGCAGUGAGGGCUGCGGGAGAACAUGACAAAGCUUCUCUAAGGACACUACUGGUACUCCUGAGGAGCUGUCAAUUACAAAACAAGAAAAGGGAAGGAAGA